AGGGAAUAUUGCGCAAUGGAGGAAACUCUGACGCAGCGACGCCGCGUGAGUGAUGAAGGCUUUCGGGUUGUAAAGCUCUGUUCUCAGGGAAAAAGAAAGUGAUGGUACCUGAGAAGAAAGGACCGGCUAACUUCGUGCCAGCAGCCGCGGUAAGACGGGGGGUCCAAGCGUUGCUCGGAAUCAUUGGGCGUAAAGGGGGCGUAGGUGGCUUUGUAAGUCAGAAGUGAAAGCCCUGGGCUCAACCCGGGAAGUGCUUUUGAUACUGCGAAGCUUGAAUGUGGUAGAGGAUAGUAGAAUUCCUGGUGUAGUGGUGAAAUACGUAGAUAUCAGGAGGAAUACCUGUGGCGAAGGCGGCUAUCUGGACCAACAUUGACACUGAGGCCCGAAAGCGUGGGGAUCAAAC
rnacentral:rRNA from 1 species